rnacentral:rRNA from 1 species
UACGAAGGGGGCUAGCGUUGUUCGGAAUUACUGGGCGUAAAGCGUGCGCAGGCGGCUCAUUAAGUCAGAGGUGAAAGCCCAGGGCUCAACCCUGGAAUUGCCUUUGAAACUAGUGGGCUUGAGUGCGGGAGAGGUGAGUGGAAUUCCCAGUGUAGAGGUGAAAUUCGUAGAUAUUGGGAAGAACACCGGUGGCGAAGGCGGCUCACUGGCCCGUUUCUGACGCUCAUGCACGACAGCGUGGGGAUCAAACAGG